CUUUGGGAUAACCCUCGGAAACGGGGGCUAAUACCGGAUAUGACCUUUCCUCGCAUGAGGGUUGGUGGAAAGUUUUUCGGCCUGGGAUGGGCUCGCGGCCUAUCAGCUUGUUGGUGGGGUGAUGGCCUACCAAGGCGACGACGGGUAGCCGGCCUGAGAGGGCGACCGGCCACACUGGGACUGAGACACGGCCCAAACUCCUACGGGAGGCAGCAGUGGGGAAUAUUGCACAAUGGGCGGAAGCCUGAUGCAGCGACGCCGCGUGAGGGAUGACGGCCUUCGGGUUGUAAACCUCUUUCAGCAGGGACGAAGCGCAAGUGACGGUACCUGCAGAAGAAGCGCCGGCCAACUACGUGCCAGCAGCCGCGGUAAGACGUAAGGCGCGAGCGUUGUCCGGAUUUAUUGGGCGUAAAGAGCUCGUACGCGGCUUGUCGCGUCGACCGUGAAAACUUGGGGCUCAACCCCAAGCCUGCGGUCGAUACGGGGAGGCUAGAGUUCGGUAGGGGAGACUGGAAUUCCUGGUGUAGCGGUGAAAUGCGCAGAUAUCACGAGGAACACCGGUGGCGAAGGCGGGUCUCUGGGCCGAUACUGACGCUGAGGAGCGAAAGCGUGCGGAGCGAACAGGAUUAGAUACCCUGGUAGCCCACGCUGUAAACGUUGGGCGC
rnacentral:rRNA from 1 species